AUUGAACGCUGGCGGCAUGCCUUACACAUGCAAGUCGAACGGCAGCGGGGACUUCGGUCCGCCGGCGAGUGGCGAACGGGUGAGUAAUGUAUCGGAACGUACCUUUCGGUGGGGGAUAACGUAGCGAAAGUUACGCUAAUACCGCAUAUUCUCUGAGGAGGAAAGCAGGGGACCUUCGGGCCUUGUGCUGAUGGAGCGGCCGAUAUCAGAUUAGCUAGUUGGUGAGGUAAAGGCUCACCAAGGCGACGAUCUGUAGCGGGUCUGAGAGGAUGAUCCGCCACACUGGGACUGAGACACGGCCCAGACUCCUACGGGAGGCAGCAGUGGGGAAUUUUGGACAAUGGGCGCAAGCCUGAUCCAGCCAUGCCGCGUGAGUGAAGAAGGCCUUCGGGUUGUAAAGCUCUUUCGGACGGGAAGAAAUUAGUGGGGCUAAUAUCCCCAUCGGAUGACGGUACCGUAAUAAGAAGCACCGGCUAACUACGUGCCAGCAGCCGCGGUAACAC
rnacentral:rRNA from 1 species